rnacentral:rRNA from 1 species
CGUCGGGAAACUGACGCUAAUACCGCAUAAUAUCUCCGGAUCAAAGAUUCAUCGCCCAGGGAUUGGCCCGCGUUAGAUUAGGUAGUUGGUAGGGUAAUGGCCUACCAAGCCGACGAUCUAUAGCUGGUCUGAGAGGAUGAUCAGCCACACUGGAACUGAGACACGGUCCAGACUCCUACGGGAGGCAGCAGUGAGGAAUAUUGGACAAUGGGGGCAACCCUGAUCCAGCCAUGCCGCGUGAGUGACGAAGGCCUUAGGGUUGUAAAGCUCUUUCGGCUGUGAAGAUAAUGACAGUAGCAGCAUAAGAAG